rnacentral:rRNA from 1 species
AGUGAACGCUGGCGGCAUGCCUUACACAUGCAAGUCGAACGGCAGCGCAGUAUUCGGCCUGGCGGACGGUGGCCGACGGGUGAGUAAUGCAUCGGAACGUGGCCAGUAACGUGGGAUAGGGCGGCGAAGGCCGGAUUCAUACCGCAAACGCCCUGACGACGUACGCGUGGAACCGAAAGACCUUGCGCCAUUGCACCAGCCGAUGUCGGAAUAGCUAGUUGGUGGGGUAAAGGCUUACCAAGGCGACGAUCCGUAGCUGGUCUGAGAGGACGACCAGCCACACUGGAACUGAGACACGGCCCAGACUCCUACGGGAGGCAGCAGUGGGGAAUUUUGGACAAUGGGGGCAAGCCUGAUCCAGCCAUGCCGCGUGCGUGAAGAAGGCCUUCGGGUUGUAAACCGCUUUUGUUGGGGAAGAAAACCUCUGGGUUAAUACCCCGGGGGUAUGACGGUACCGAAAGAAUAAGCACCGGCUAACUACGUG